UGUGUAUUACGGCCGCAAUGGUCGAGUGGUUGGCAUCGCCGAAAAUCGCUUCAGCGUUUGCAAAACGUCAUUUAUAUAUAUAUUGCAUGAUAUAUUUAUAAAGCAUUGCAUUUUGCAUUUGUAUAUAAAAUUUACAAAAAGUGAUAAUGUGAUUAGUAUAUUAUUGACGAGAGACACUACACAACAACAAGAAUGUUCAAAAUUCUAUUAGUGAUAUUCUUUAUCUCCGAGCUACACAGCUGUUCGAAAAAUGCAGUACUCGCUGCAAAGAAGCAAUCAAAUUGUGCCGCAGAGGAUGGCGAGUGGGCAUGCAAAAGUGGUGCCUGUAUCCAAAUUCAUAAUCUUUGUGAUGGUACCAAACACUGUCGAGAUGGUUCUGACGAGCGAAAAAAUAUUUGCAAAAAUAUGAAAUGUUCUACCUCAUCUUUUCGUUGUAAUUACGGUGCUUGCAUACCAGCCGAAAACAUGUGUGAUGGUGUUAUUGAUUGUGUAGAUUCAUCAGAUGAAGACAACGAUAUGUGUCGUAGCCAUCGGAACGAGCCAACAGAGGAGGAUAUUGAAGAGUCCGAGAAUCGGAAACAUUGCGCAAGCUGGGGCCAAAUGAAAUGCUGGUCAGGUCAAUGUGUAAAUUUGAGUGACAAAUGCAAUGGCAUUCAAGAUUGUGCCGAUGGCAGCGAUGAGUGGUCACAGCUAUGUGCAAAUAUACUGUGUGACAAAAACAAGCAAUUCAAAUGUAAUUAUGGUGCUUGCAUAGACAUACAUGGUGUGUGUAACGGUACAGAAGAGUGCGCAGAUAAGAGCGAUGAAGCAUCAGAGACUUGCGAAAUGAAAACUGUUUUGCCCACAAACUCGAGUCCUCCCGAAUUCACAACUAAAAUUUCAGUUGAUAGCAAAACUACAAUCAAAGCGAAGGAUAAUAGCAUUCCAAAUAUUAAUAAAUAUCCUAUUUCAAGAUAUAUGAAACGAUCGUACUGUACCAAUAAAUGGAUUAGCUCCACUGAUUGCUGCACUCUGAAUGGAGCUUCAUAUAUAUGCGAAAGAAUAGUGCCCAACACCAUUGUCCAUAAAGGAUGCAAUUUGAAGCAAUGCCAUCAUAUAUGCAAUAAUGCAAUGAACUGGGAACAGUUGGAUACCGGUUGCCCAAGAUUAUAAAUGAAAUUACGAUUUUUAAAUCCCAUGAGAGGCAAUGAACAUACUUUUAAUUGAGUGCUUUAAAUUUUACAGUGUCGUCGCACAUUUGGGCUGCAGUUGGAUGGGAUUGAGAUGCAUGUUUGGUCACCAUUGAUAUAUAGGAAUAUUAAUAUAAAUAUAGAUACAUACAUAUAGAAGUCAAAUGUCUAUCUAUAUAAUUGUUCACGGUUUGCAGCGUUUCGUAAAACAAUUUCCAAUCUAUUACGAGAUUGCUCUUGGGCUUAUUCUUUUUUCCCCACUUACUUUUGUUGGUAUGGCCAAUAAUUAAUUUUGAUAAAAGUACAUCGCAAAACUAGAAUGAUGCA